AUUGAACGCUGGCGGCAUGCCUUACACAUGCAAGUCGAACGCGAAAGGGGGCAACCCUGAGUAGAGUGGCGCACGGGUGAGCAAUACAUCGGAACAUACCCAGUAGUGGGGGACAACCAGUCGAAAGACUGGCUAAUACCGCAUACGACCUACGGGUGAAAGCGGGGGACCGUAAGGCCUCGCGCUAUUGGAUUGGCCGAUGUCUGAUUAGCUAGUUGGUGAGGUAACGGCUCACCAAGGCGACGCUCAGUAGCUGGUCUGAGAGGAUGAUCAGCCACCCUGGGCAUGGGACACGGCCCAGAGUCCUACGUGAGGCAGCAGUGGGGAGUUUUGGCCAAUGGGGGCAACCCUGAUCCAGCAAUGCCGCGUGAGUGAAGAAGGCCUUCGGGUUGUAAAGCUCUUUCGGCCGGGACGAAAUCGCUCUGGUGAAUAUCCAGGGUGGAUGACGGUACCGUAAGAAUAAGCACCGGCUAACUACGUGCCAGCAGCCGCCGUAA
rnacentral:rRNA from 1 species